CCUACGGGUGGCAGCAGUGGGGGAUAUUGCACAAUGGGGGAAACCCUGAUGCAGCGACGCCGCGUGUAGGAAGACGGUCCUCUGGAUUGUAAACUACUGUCCCCAGGGACGAAGAUGACGGUACCUGGGGAGGAAGCUCCGGCUAACUACGUGCCAGCAGCCGCGGUAAUACGUAGGGAGCGAGCGUUGUCCGGAAUUACUGGGUGUAAAGGGAGCGUAGGCGGGGAUGCAAGUUGGGUGUUAAAUCUACCGGCUCAACUGGGAGUCGCACUCAAAACUGCAGCUCUUGAGUGAAGUAGAGGCAGGCGGAAUUCCUAGUGUAGCGGUGAAAUGCGUAGAUAUUAGGAGGAACACCAGUGGCGAAGGCGGGUUGCUAGACUGUAACUGACACUGAGGCACGGAAGCGUGGGGAGCAAACAGGAUUAGAUACCCGAGUAGUC
rnacentral:rRNA from 1 species